GACGAACGCUGGCGGCGUGCUUAACACAUGCAAGUCGAACGGAAAGGCCCUGCUUUUGUGGGGUGCUCGAGUGGCGAACGGGUGAGUAACACGUGAGUAACCUGCCCUUGACUUUGGGAUAACUUCAGGAAACUGGGGCUAAUACCGGAUAGGAGCUCCUGCUGCAUGGUGGGGGUUGGAAAGUUUCGGCGGUUGGGGAUGGACUCGCGGCUUAUCAGCUUGUUGGUGGGGUAGUGGCUUACCAAGGCUUUGACGGGUAGCCGGCCUGAGAGGGUGACCGGCCACAUUGGGACUGAGAUACGGCCCAGACUCCUACGGGAGGCAGCAGUGGGAAAUAUUGCACAAUGGGCGGAAGCCUGAUGCAGAAACGCCGCGUGCGGGAUGACGGCCUUCGGGUUGUAAACCGCUUUCGCCUGUGACGAAGCGUGAGUGACGGUAAUGGGUAAAGAAGCACCGGCUAACUACGUG
rnacentral:rRNA from 1 species